AAAAUGUGAGUCUUUACCAAAAUACUAUUGGGACUUUUGAUGGUGGGACCACAACUUUGCCCUUUUAAUUUGUAGAUAUGCAGCACAUUCCAAGAAGCUCAGGAGUGCUUCUCUGUCUCUUCCACUCUUAGGCAGUGUGGGGGUAUGCCCAUGUGUAUUAUGAUGACCCUUGUGCAUAUGGAGAAGAAGAAUCAGGCUUCCUCCCUGGGUGCAUGAAAAUGAAUGGCCAGGUAUCAAGGGCUUCCAUCAGGCACUAAUCUCUGACAUUAUGAAAAGAUAUCUGCAGCUAUAACAAAAAUCCUGUGUUGGUAAUGGAAAGCAGCCAUUUGUUUCCCAAGAAAAUUAAAAUGAUUUGGGGGAAACCCUAUACUUCCAUUUGAACAGUCAAGAAAGCCCUGCUGUGUAUUUUAUUUGUUUGUUGUUUGUAUAAGGUGAGAGAUCCUGUGCAAACAGAUUUUGUGCAGUGGAACAUACCCUUGGCUUUCUCCUUCUGAAGUCUUACUCCCUGAAAUCAGCUAUACAACAGAUAACGGGGGGCUGCAGAAAAAGAGUAAAUUGCUUCCUCCUUUUCCACUGACAGAAGUUAUUUUAUUGCCGGGAGGCAUUAACUAGAUGCAACCAUCCUUUAAGAACAACAACAACAAACAACCUUUAUUUACUUGUCAAUCACCCAAGGACUUGUCAGUUGAAGCAUGCCAUAUAAAUCAUCCAUGAACAUUAAAACAAACAUAAAUAAAUAGUUUUAUUU